AUCUAGCUGACGAGUCCCAAAUAAGACAAUACGCGUAUCCUUGAU
rfam:Schistosoma haematobium scaffold132_7, whole genome shotgun sequence.